rnacentral:rRNA from 1 species
GUGGGGAAUAUUGGGCAAUGGGCGCAAGCCUGACCCAGCAACGCCGCGUGAAGGAAGAAGGCCUUCGGGUUGUAAACUUCUUUUACCAGGGACGAAACAAAUGACGGUACCUGGUGAAUAAGCCACGGCUAACUACGUGCCAGCAGCCGCGGUAAUACGUAGGUGGCGAGCGUUAUCCGGAUUUAUUGGGUGUAAAGGGCGUGUAGGCGGGACAGCAAGUCAGAUGUGAAAACAAGAGGCUCAACCUCUGGCCUGCAUUUGAUACUGUUGUUCUUGAGUGUCGGAGAGGUAAUCGGAAUUCCGUGUGUAGCGGUGAAAUGCGUAGAUAUACGGAGGAACACCAGUGGCGAAGGCGGAUUACUGGACGAUAACUGACGCUGAGGCGCGAAAGCGUGGGGAGCAAACAGGAUUAGAUACCCGAGUAGUCC